rnacentral:rRNA from 1 species
AUUGAACGCUGGCGGCAGGCCUAACACAUGCAAGUCGAGCGGAUCGGCGGACGGGUGAGUAAUGCCUAUGAAUCUGCCUGUUAGUGGGGGAUAACGUCCGGAAACGGGCGCUAAUACCGCAUACUAUCAGAAUAGCCUAGGUCGGCUUAGCUAGUUCGUGGGGUAAAGGCCUACCAAGGCGACGAUCCGUAACUGGUCUGAGAGGAUGAUCAGUCACACUGGAACUGAGACACGGUCCAGACUCCUACGGGAGGCAGCAGUGGGGAAUAUUGGACAAUGGGCGGAAGCCUGAUCCAGACAUGCCGCGUGUGUGAAGAAGGUCUUCGGAUUGUAAAGCACUUUAAGUUGGGAGGCGUUACCAACAGAAUAAGCACCGGCUAACUUCGUGCCAGCAGCCGCGGUAAUAC